UUUCUAUGAUGACCCAAACUAGCUCACUAUGAUUGACAAUGAAAAUAUAUGAACACCUGAGAAAC
rnacentral:snoRNA from 5 species